rnacentral:rRNA from 1 species
CGUGCCUAAUACAUGCAAGUAGAACGCUGAAGAGAGGAGCUUGCUCUUCUUGGAUGAGUUGCGAACGGGUGAGUAACGCGUAGGUAACCUGCCUUGUAGCGGGGGAUAACUAUUGGAAACGAUAGCUAAUACCGCAUAACAAUGGAUGACACAUGUCAUUUAUUUGAAAGGGGCAAUUGCUCCACUACAAGAUGGACCUGCGUUGUAUUAGCUAGUAGGUGAGGUAACGGCUCACCUAGGCGACGAUACAUAGCCGACCUGAGAGGGUGAUCGGCCACACUGGGACUGAGACACGGCCCAGACUCCUACGGGAGGCAGCAGUAGGGAAUCUUCGGCAAUGGGGGCAACCCUGACCGAGCAACGCCGCGUGAGUGAAGAAGGUUUUCGGAUCGUAAAGCUCUGUUGUAAGUCAAGAACGAGUGUGAGAGUGGAAAGUUCACACUGUGACGGUAGCUUACCAGAAAGGGACGGCUAACUACGUGCCAGCAGCCGCGGUAAUACGUAGGUCCCGAGCGUUGUCCGGAUUUAUUGGUCGUAAAGCCAGCCCACGCGGUUUGAUAAGUCUGAAGUAAAAGGCUGUGGCUCACCCAUAGUUCGCUUUUGAAAACUGUCAAACUUGAGUGCAGAAGGGGAGAGUGGAAUUCCAUGUGUAGCGGUGAAAUGCGUAGAUAUAUGGAGGAACACCGGUGGCGAAAGCGGCUCUCUGGUCUGUAACUGACGCUGAGGCUCGAAAGCGUGGGGAGCGAACAGGAUUAGAUACCCUGGUAGUCCACGCCGUAAACGAUGAGUGCUAGGUGUUGGAUCCUUUCCGGGAUUCAGUGCCGCAGCUAACGCAUUAAGCACUCCGCCUGGGGAGUACGACCGCAAGGUUGAAACUCAAAGGAAUUGACGGGGGCCCGCACAAGCGGUGGAGCAUGUGGUUUAAUUCGAAGCAACGCGAAGAACCUUACCAGGUCUUGACAUCCCGAUGCUAUUUCUAGAGAUAGAAAGUUACUUCGGUACAUCGGUGACAGGUGGUGCAUGGUUGUCGUCAGCUCGUGUCGUGAGAUGUUGGGUUAAGUCCCGCAACGAGCGCAACCCCUAUUGUUAGUUGCCAUCAUUCAGUUGGGCACUCUAGCGAGACUGCCGGUAAUAAACCGGAGGAAGGUGGGGAUGACGUCAAAUCAUCAUGCCCCUUAUGACCUGGGCUACACACGUGCUACAAUGGUUGGUACAACGAGUUGCGAGUCGGUGACGGCAAGCUAAUCUCUUAAAGCCAAUCUCAGUUCGGAUUGUAGGCUGCAACUCGCCUACAUGAAGUCGGAAUCGCUAGUAAUCGCGGAUCAGCACGCCGCGGUGAAUACGUUCCCGGGCCUUGUACACACCGCCCGUCACACCACGAGAGUUUGUAACACCCGAAGUCGGUGAGGUAACCUUUUGGAGCCAGCCGCCUAAGGUGGGAUAGAUGAUUGGGGUGAAGUCGU